rnacentral:lncRNA from 1 species
AUGUACUGAAUGUCCUGCCCAACCCCGCCCCCUCGUCACAUAAGCCCCGCCCUUCUAGAGUGUUCUCUGGCGGAAGUGCGCUCUAGGCUUUUUAGUAUGGACGCGUUCGCUUGAUGGUCACGCGCUGUAGAAUUGUAGUCCGCGCGAGCGUCAUGCCAGUGAAAAUGAAUGCGGAUUGAAGAGGCGCGCGGAGAGCGUUUGUUUUGCGCUGUAAACGGGAGACGAAUAUGGGCAGCUGAAACUCGGGAACGAGUGGAAACGAAAGGUUGAAUGGUUACUUUAUACCCCUCGCCGAAGUGUUACUGUAACCGGACUGAGGGAAGUUAAAGGGGCUUUUCAGCCUCACCACAGUAACAAGCUCUUGAGGGGAGCUGCGCUGCGUGCUAACGAGCUACAUGGGACAUACUUUGAAUUAUUUAAUUGCGGCUCGCGCAAGCGCGUAUCGAGUAUAGCAGCGCGCAGAUGGUAGACUAAAGCGCGUUCAUGGAAAACGGACAUAUUUGCGUUUGGGAAGGUAAAAACUGACACCGUAUCGAGCGCGUUUGGCCCCUCUCGUCAUGCGACGGUGGGGGAGGAUCGGAGCAGGGACAGAGUUUACACCUGGCCAACCGCACCAACAACUCCAACACCCCGAUCAGCAUCUCCCAGUCCUUCCACAACAGCUUCUCCAUGCUGAAUGUUUUCCAGGAGAGGAUGGACUUCUGCCAGCAGCAUGAUGACGCGAACGUGUCGUCAUGCUGGUGGUAUCAGCUGUGCGCUGUGAGGGCUCAUCCUGCAUACCUCACAUAUAGUCCACAAUGCACUGCACUGGAGCAGCCAGAAACACACCACACCAUCUUUCAGCCUCCAUACUGGCAUGCACACAGAAGGACUCCGGUUUCACCGAGCCCUCAUGUUUUUUGGCACUACUGUCGUUAACAGCAUAGCUUAUAUGUGUUCCACUGACAUUAUGAACAAAUUAACCUGUGAUUUAAUGCCUAAAUGGUGACUAAUAAGAGGACAAUUCAUUGUUAUAUUAGUAGCCUUCUGAGCAUAAAGUGAGCUCAGUGAAUAAGGCCAUAAUUUCCAGAAGUAUAUUCUCCUAGGACAAAUUAUUGGACUGUAAAUUUUUGAUUUAAGCUAUAAAUUUGUGUCAUGUUGUUGGCUUCAUAGAUGCGUAGGUUCUGUGUUUUAUGGAAGAGAAAUAAAGAGAAGUGUGUGUGUGGUGGAUAAAUAUGAAAUGAUUUCUACAGAGAGUGGAGUUGAACCUCAGUAGGGGGGAAACAGGAAGCUUUUGCUUGGAGGCUGUGUCUGUGGAAUGCUAUGACAUCAGUUCCCAGAAGCCACCUGGGAGACCAGUGGGAUUCUCAAUCAUUGUCUACAUCUCUUUGUGGUUGGGUUGGUUUGGCUGGAGUGAACUGAUCUGGCCAUUAGAUGCUUUUUACAUUCCUUUUUUUCUGUGCAUGUGUUUAAGGUAAAGAAAUCCUUCUGGUCAAAGGUCAACAGUAGUAACAUCCAGCCCCAAUUGAUUGAGUUUGCAUUGAACAGCGCUUUCAGCCUUCAUGGCAUCUGCUCUUUUGCUUAAACCCAUUUAAACAAUGAAAUAGAAAAUCUUUUUUUUUUUUUUGGAUUGUAAGGCUGCAGAUGUUAAAUGUUUUGUGCUCAUAAGCCUGAACACACUAAAACCUAACCUAUAAUCCUCAUGUUCUCCUCUUUAAUUAAUGGAAGGACUAAUGGUGUCCAUCUCUUUGUUUGAAAGUAAUUGCCUUUGCAUUAUUCAUGCACUGUCCACAUCGACUCCUUUUGUUGCAUAAAGGACUGGUCUAUUAGGCUGCAUUUACACUGCAAGCCUAAUGCCCAGAUGCAAUGGUCAUAUCUUUUCUUUUUUGUCUCAUCUGUUUACAUUCAUUUAAGACGCAAAUGACUCUGAAUGAAUCAAUAAGGUCUCAUCUGGAAAAACUGUCAGCAUUUUUAUUCAUCUCAGAUUAAAAAUGGACAAAAGAAAAUUAAAAUUUUUCAGUUUUUUAAAUUUGUAUUUCAUUCUGAUAAUUUUUUAUUAAAAUUGUGAACGUAUAAUUUUUUUAUUUAAUUUUUAUUUUUUUACUUACCACUCAAUCUGGUUACUAAAUGAAGCAACCAACUAGCUAAAACCUAAAUAUCGAAAAUAACCCAGAUUAUCAAAAUCACUGUUUGGGUUUAAAUAUAUAGUCAUUAUUAAAUCUAACUCUGUAAUAUCCAAAUAUAGCUCACUCUGAAGUAAGUGUUUAAAGGUAAACACGUUAAAUUUCUUAGAAAUUAAAUGUCUCCUAUGGCUUCAGUCACAUGUUGGAUGUGAAGCAUCACACCCUGGCCAUCUCAGAGGUAUUGUUUAAGAUGGCCUUCUACAAACUGAGGAUGAAGUUGCAUCAGUGACUUUGAAAAGGUGAUGUCAGUAUGUGCAAAUACUUGUCCCAAAUAGUUUUUUUAAUGGAAUACUAUGCCAGUGGCAAAAAAAGACUUUGUAAUCAUAGUUGGGUGUCACCGAUAGAUGCAGAGUAAGAUGCAAGCUUUUUCAUGGUAAUUGUUUUGACUUCCCUCAUUCAAAUUUUGUGGUGCCAGGGCAGAAAUUUAGACAUGAUGAAUGGUGGACUGGAAUUUCGUUCGGCAUUAGGGCUGGGUUUUGACAUAAAUUUCAUGAUUUGAUUAGAUUCUCAUUUACAAGCUUGCGAUUUUAUUACCGAUUCGAUUCAAUAUCGAUUAUUUUGGAUGUAUAUCAGGUACAGUACAUGCCAAAUUUUCUACAAGGAAAAAAAACUACUAACUAAUGCUGUAAAAUAUACAUGAGAGUCAGUUGGUACAACAUUACUAUAAUAUUUAUUCUAAACAUAAAUUAAACAUGGUGGUGUCCCAUACUUGGAAUUUGUCCUCUGCAUUUAACCCAUCCAAGUGUACACAGCAGUGAGUAGUGAACAAACUCACACACACCAAUGUGUGCCAUGUAAGCCAAUGCUGCGGCACCUGGGGAGAAGUUGGGGGAUUGGUGCCUUGCUCAAGGGUCUCACCUCAGUCGUGGUAUUGAAGGUGGAGAGAGCGCUGGAUAUUCACUCCCCCCCACACUGACAAUCCCUAUCGGACCUGAGACUUGAACCCAUGUCCUUUGGGUUACAAGUCACAAGUUACAAAUCUGACUGUUUUCUGAGGUAAAUUUGACGUUACGUGACAUAUUUUUAAGAAGCCAUUUGCACAGCUGAACAUGAGACAGGAUACGGAUUUUAAAGUUGUACUAUCUUUUAACUUCCCUUCAGAUGUUCAGCCAUGUUUAUUUGUGCUGAAACCGGUAUUAAUAUAGAGGAGAUGAUCAAUUCAUGUGCGCCUUGCGCUGCUGCGUCUGUUUGAACUACAGCGAUCUGUCACUCCACAUUAAACCAUGCCAAAACAUAAAGCAUUUAUUUUUUAAAUACUCCAAUACAAUGGACAGAAUUUAAAAUCUGAGAUUUGUUUCAUAUUAAAAGUACCAAAGCACAAUGAUUAUUGCUAUUUAUUGGAUGGGAAGUACCCUUCAAAUGUUCCGUCCAUUAACUGAAAACAGGCUAGAGUAGACUCGAUUCUUGGGAUUAGGCAAGGGCCAGUAUGAGAUUUUGACGGUUUCACGGUAUCAUGGUAUUGUUGUUACAGCUCUGAAAUGUGUUAUUUUUAAAUGACUGGGUUAAAAAAAUGUUGUUGUUUUUCACGCUGGACAAUAAACAGAAUAUUAGAAACCGUUAUAUAGAAUUAGUUUAUUUUAUUUUUUUAUUUUUAGGAAACAAAUCAAAAAAAAAAUUAAGACUGGCAUCUUUAUUUAACCUAAAUAUGUAAUUACAGUUAUUUAAUUUUAGUUAUAUAAUUCAUAUACAUAUCAUUUCAUAUCAUUUAGUUAUAUAACAAUAAUCAUACACAUAAUUUGAUUUGAUAAUAACCCAAUCUGAAGCAAAAACAGAAUGUUCUGACAAUCUUUGUGAAAUUAUACCAUGUAAACUUUUCAGAAGACAGUCAGCUCCCCUCAGAAACACAUUCAUAUAAACCCCCAAAUCAGUACUGAGGAUUUUCUUCCAAUAGUUUGUGCAUCAUGAACAGUGAGUGAUCAGUAUUUUUCUCUGUGCGUCCGUCUUCAGCGUCUCUGGCCUGUGUUAACAGGUGUUAACAGACUUCAUAUUUUCACAUAAAUGACAUUUUGGAAAAUGAUGGCAUUGCAACGCAGUUUGUGCAAGUCCAGAACAGAAAGUUGCAAUAAGGCAAAAAAACGUCCGGUUGGCGAUCGCGUAAAGGCCAAAGUAUAUUUUGGCCGUCUGCGCACCAUCGGCAUUACGUUAUUUUCAUCAUCAAGAGGGCUCGCGGACAGCCGCACACCCCGCCGUACUGCGCAUAUGAGCUCAUCCUCAUCCGGCUCUGGGCAAGUCGGAAAGGAACGCUGAUUGUGAAGUGUACCUGGGCGUUAAGUUCAGCCAUCCUACACACACGUGACUGACCGCUCGCUCGCACCAAUAGGAGGAGUAGGGGUCAGUGUUACUCUCUACACUGCACUCAGCCUGAGGGAGUCCCACUCUUUCAGUCUUUGAGGUGACAUGGAAAACGGCGCAUACCGCAGGAACAGUAUAAUGGAAAAUAUUAGUGGUUUUGAAACCGUAAAAUGUUCAAAUUGCGGUAUACCUUGAAACCGGUAAUCUGCCCAUGCCUACUUGGAAUUUAGGAAUCGAUAUCAUUCCGUAAAAAUGAGAAUCGAUUAAUAUUGAGAUAUCAAUUUUUUUUUACCCAGCCCUAUUUGCCAUGGCUUUCAAACUAACUUAAAAUCAUUGGAUAUUCAGAAUAGUACUUAGUUUGUGUACUAUUUUUUUCUUGUCCUGCUCUUGUUGUUGUCGUCUUUUGCUUAAGGCUGUGGGUUAGGGGUCAUCCCAAACUGCCAGAAUGGAUUCUAUGUGGGAUUAGUUGGGUCAAUGAAGUACCAUAGAGACCAACCCCUACCCCUCUCUCUCUUGUGAACUAUCCAUCAUUUUUGUGACACAAAUGCAAAUUCCUUUCUCUUUUAGUUUAGUUCCCAACACUGAGUUGCUGGAGCCAAGGAUGGAGGGAUUCGUUGGCCGGACAUCAUCCAUGUUUCCAUAUUAUGUGAUCAUCCUGUCUUUUGACCCAUGCUAAGAGCUGAUCCAUGAUCAAAAUAUUGAAAUCAAAAGUCAGAUUUUUGUGUAAAACUAAAUUGUCUGUUGUGCUGAGCAACACACACGUUACGCAAACAAAAUUAUAUUCAGUAACUGCAAAUCAAUAUUUGCAAAUUCCCAACAUGUUUUUUUUUUAAUGUAAGAGAUUUAAUUAAUUAUGGGGGCUUGUCAAUCAGAACUAACAGGUUUCAACCAUCCUUUCUUUUGCUAUAUGUAAUACACUACCAUUCAAACGUCUGGGGAGAGUAAUUUACUUAUUUUUUCCAGAAAAACUAAAUUAACACAAAUUAAAGCAAGUAUGAUCAGAUCUUAUAUAUAAAUAAAUAAAUGCUGUUCUUUUAAAUGUAUUUAUCAAAGAAUCUUUAAUAAAAAUGUUAAGCAGCACAAUUGUCAACAUGGAUCAUUAUAAACACUGAAGACUCUGAAAGGCUGCUAAAAUUACUAUUUGAUAAAUUACUUUUUAAAAUACAAAAACUAAAAAAAGACUUUUUCAUAAGACUUUUUUUUUUUUUUAAAAAACAUUAACAAAUAAUUCUUUCACAUAUUUUGAACAGUAGUGUAUGUCAUUAGCCUUUUUAACAUGCUUUCAUUUAUUUUUGA